rnacentral:rRNA from 2 species
UCUACGGGAGGCAGCAGUAGGGAAUCUUCCGCAAUGGACGAAAGUCUGACGGAGCAACGCCGCGUGAGUGAUGAAGGUCUUCGGAUCGUAAAACUCUGUUGUGAGGGAAGAACAAGUAUUGUUCGAACAGGGCAGUACCUUGACGGUACCUCGCCAGAAAGCCCCGGCUAACUACGUGCCAGCAGCCGCGGUAAUA